rnacentral:rRNA from 1 species
UACGUAGGGCGCAAGCGUUAUCCGGAAUUAUUGGGCGUAAAGAGCUCGUAGGCGGUUUGUCGCGUCUGCCGCGAAAGUCCGGGGCUCAACUCCGGAUCUGCGGUGGGUACGGGCAGACUAGAGUGAUGUAGGGGAGACUGGAAUUCCUGGCGUAGCGGUGAAAUGCGCAGAUAUCAGGAGGAACACCGAUGGCGAAGGCAGGUCUCUGGGCAUUAACUGACGCUGAGGAGCGAAAGCAUGGGGGAGCGAACAGG